rnacentral:rRNA from 1 species
UUCCUUGGAACAGGACGUCGCAGAGGGUGAGAAUCCSGUAUGUGGCCGCCAGCCUUCGCCGUGUAAAGCCCCUUCGAAGAGUCGAGUUGUUUGGGAAUGCAGCUCUAAUUGGGAGGUAAAUUUCUUCUAAAGMUAAAUACUGGCCAGAGACCGAUAGCGCACAAGUAGAGUGAUCGAAAGAUGAAAAGCACUUUGGAAAGAGAGUCAAAAAGCACGUGAAAUUGUUGAAAGGGAAGCGCUUGCAGCCAGACUUGCCUGUAGUUGCUCAUCCGGGCUCACGCCUGGUGCACUCUUCUACAGGCAGGCCAGCAUCAGCCCGGGCGGUCGCAUAAAUGUCUAUCAAAUGUACCU